GGCACGAGUCGCAGUAAAGUAGGUUAGUAGGAUUAGCUGACCAUUCUGAUCUACUCUACUUCGAGUUUGUGCCC
rnacentral:pre_miRNA from 1 species